UAAUACGUAGGGGGCGAGCGUUGUCCGAAGUUACUGGGCGUAAAGCGCGCGUAGGCGGGCUGUUAAGUCGGAAGUGAAAGGCUGGGGCUCAACCGCAGCAGUGCUUCCGAUACUGGCCGUCUUGAGGGCAGCAGGGAGAAGUGGAAUGGCUGGUGUAGCGGUGAAAUGCGUAGAUAUCAGUCGGAACACCGGUGGCGAAGGCGGCUUCUUGGGCUGUACCUGACGCUGAGGCGCGAAAGCCAGGGGAGCGAACGGGAUUAGAUACCCCGGUAGUCCUGGCUGUAAACGAUGGAUACUAGGUGUUGGGGGUAUCGACCCCCCCAGUGCCGCCGCUAACGCAGUAAGUAUCCCGCCUGGGGAGUACGGCCGCAAGGUUG
rnacentral:rRNA from 1 species